rnacentral:rRNA from 1 species
GACGAACGCUGGCGGCGUGCCUAACACAUGCAAGUUGAGCGACGAACCAGGGCUUGCCCUGGGGCAAAGCAGCGAACGGGUGAGUAACACGUGGGUAACCUGCCCCGAUAACCGGGACAACCCGAGGAAACUCGGGCUAAUACCGGAUGUGCUCGCCGGACACCAGUCCGGCGCGUAAAGGUAGCCUUGGCUUCCGUAUCGGCAGGGGACCGCGGCCCACUAGCUAGUUGGUGAGGUAACGGCUCACCAAGGCCGCGAUGGGUAGCUGGUCUGAGAGGACGAUCAGCCACACUGGGACUGAGACACGGCCCAGACUCCUACGGGAGGCAGCAGUGGGGAAUCUUGCGCAAUGCGCGAAAGCGUGACGCAGCAACGCCGCGUAGGGGAAGAAGGCCUUCGGGUUGUAAACCCCUUUCAGGAGGGACGAAGGUUCGGCGGUGAAUAGCCGCCCGGACUGACGGUACCUCCACAAGAAGCCCCGGCUAACUACGUGCCAGCAGCCGCCGUAACAC